rnacentral:rRNA from 1 species
UACGAAGGGGGCGAGCGUUGUUCGGAUUUACUGGGCGUAAAGGGCGCGCAGGCGGUCUUGAAAGUCAGGCGUGAAAGCCCCGGGCUUAACCUGGGAAUUGCGCUUGAUACUCUGAGACUGGAGUACGGGAGAGGAGAGUGGAAUUCCCAGUGUAGAGGUGAAAUUCGUAGAUAUUGGGAAGAACACCAGUGGCGAAGGCGGACUCUCUGGACCGUAACUGACGCUGAGGCGCGAAAGCGUGGGAGCAAACAGGG